rnacentral:tmRNA from 1 species
GGGGCCGACCGGUUUUGACAGGAUGCGUAGUGGCGCGCUUGCAUGCGGGCUCAUGGGAUGAGAGCCCUGAAAGAUAGUUCCAAAUUCUAAUUGGCGAAGAUUAUUCUUACGCUAUGGCUGCUUAAUUCGGCAUUUAUGCUGAAUUAGCUUAGGGUUGACCGCCAAGGGUGGUCCCCGGCCAUCAUCGUACCGUAUCCAUGUGCUACGGAGACGGAUUUGCGGUGUAGCAAGGUAGCGCUGGCCUGUGUGGGGUUGUGACGCACAGGUGAGACUAAUCGCAACUAAGGUAUAGUUUCGGCUGCUUUUGGCCAGGCCAUACCCGACAAUUAAUCAAAAGAUAAGCAUGUAGAGGGUUCGUUAGCUGCCUUCUCUGGACGAGGGUUCGAAUCCCUCCGGCUCCACAA